rnacentral:rRNA from 1 species
AACGAACGCUGGCGGCAUGCCUAACACAUGCCAGUCGAACGAGACCUUCGGGUCUAGUGGCGCACGGGUUCGUAACGCGGAGGAACCUGGCCUUAGGUUCGGAAUAUCCCCUCGAAAGGGGUGCUACAACCGGAUAAUACCGCCGGACCAAAGAAUGAUCGCCUAUGGGUGUGCCGGCGUGGUAUUAGCUAGGUGGUAGAGUAAAAGCCUACCAAGGGGACGAGCCAUAGUUGGUAUGAGAGGAUGAUCAGCCACACUGGGACAGAGACACGGCGCAGACUCUUACGGAAGGAAGCAGGGGGGACUAUUGGACGAUGGGCGAGAGACUGAUCCAGCAAGGCCGCGUGACUGUUGAAGGCCUUAGGGUUGUAAAGCUCUUUUACCCGGGAUGAUAAUGACAGUACCGGGAUAAUAAGCCCCGGCUAACUACGUG